UUGACGCUGCGGAAAAUCUUCUGUUCUUAGAAAACAUUUCGGUUCUGUCUAUUAAAAUUACUUUUUAUUUCUGGUAGAAAACUCAGAGGUAAUAAGUGAAUAACCUGAUGAUGUAGCAAAAUGCAGCCGUCAAACCAGGAAGCCGGUUCAUCAAAACAUAGUAGAAGCCGCCCAACCGCGACCUAAAUUAAAUUGGCCAAGCGUGAGUCGGGUUUUUAACAAUGGGUUCCUCAUCCUCAACCCACUUUUACUUAGGUUAGGUUACUUCUGAUCAAACGUCAGCGCUGGCUUCGCAGUGACUGGCACAAUGGGCGGCCUACCUUUGUGCAGCAUCACAAAGAACACCCUACCCCGGCCUUGAUUAUCUUAUCUAAUCAGUAUGUCUUAUGCAAUAGAAUAUUAUUGUUUUAUUUUAAUGUGCAAAACAAUUUCGUCAACUUUUUUGACUGAUUGACAAAUUGAACUGAACAAGACUUAUGCAUUUUAACAUGUAAAUACCUACCUAAGAAAUUUUUCUUUUGUUUCGCUUAUAU